UAAGACGUAGGAUGCGAGCGUUGUCCGGAUUUAUUGGGCGUAAAGAGUUCGUAGGUGGUUCGUUAAGUCUGGUGUAAAAGACUGGGGCUCAACCCUGGGAUCGCACUGGAUACUGGCGGACUGGAGUGUGGUAGAGGCAAGUGGAAUUCCCAGUGUAGCGGUGAAAUGCGUAGAUAUUGGGAAGAACACCGGUGGCGCAAGCGACUUGCUGGGCCAUAACUGACACUGAGGAACGAAAGCUAGGGGAGCGAAUGGGAUUAGAUACCCCAGUAGUCCUAGCUGUAAACGAUGGAUACUAGACGUAUCGGGUAUCGACCCCUGAUGUGUCGCAGCAAACGCGAUAAGUAUCCCGCCUGAGUAGUACGGCCGCAAGGUUG
rnacentral:rRNA from 1 species